CUUGUCCUACGGGAGGCAGCAGUGGGGGAUAUUGCACAAUGGGGGCAACCCUGAUGCAGCGACGCCGCGUGAGCGAUGGAGUACUUCGGUAUGUAAAGCUCUGUCAGCAGGGAAGAGAAUGACGGUACCUGACCAAGAAGCCCCGGCUAAAUACGUGCCAGCAGCCGCGGUAAUACGUAUGGGGCAAGCGUUAUCCGGAUUUACUGGGUGUAAAGGGAGCGUAGGCGGCAGGGCAAGCCUGAUGUGAAAGCCCGGGGCUCAACCCCGGGCCUGCAUUGAGAACUGCCCUGCUCGAGUGUCGGAGG
rnacentral:rRNA from 1 species